rfam:Felis catus isolate Cinnamon breed Abyssinian chromosome C2, whole genome shotgun sequence.
GCCCGGGUGGCUCAGUUGGUUAAGCGUCUGACUUCAGCUCAGGUCAUGAUGUCACAGUUCGUGAGUUUGAGUCCCGCAUCGGGCU